rnacentral:rRNA from 1 species
CGACCGGCGCACGGGUGAGUAACGCGUAUCCAACCUGCCCACCACUUGGGGAUAACCUUGCGAAAGUAAGACUAAUACCCAAUGAUAUCUCUAGAAGACAUCUGAAAGAGAUUAAAGAUUUAUCGGUGAUGGAUGGGGAUGCGUCUGAUUAGCUUGUUGGCGGGGUAACGGCCCACCAAGGCGACGAUCAGUAGGGGUUCUGAGAGGAAGGUCCCCCACAUUGGAACUGAGGCACGGUCCAA